AGCAAAGGGCAGUCGUUAUAUAAAGAUAUCCGUACUACUAAAUAGUCUCGAGGGUUUAGGGUUGAAUCAUCCAUUGAUCUCGAGGGUUGAAUCAUCCACGACACGAAUAGAACCUUUAAACGGGCCAUGAGUGGAAUCAUACUUGAACAUAUAGGCCUGGAAAGGGGGAGAUUAUAUAGAAAACACAAACAAUACCAAACCUCAUGCAUAGAAAUUGACAGUUGUUAAACCAACAGUGAAGUAAAAAAUGU
rnacentral:lncRNA from 1 species